GAAAACUUUCACGUUUUCUUGUUGAUGUUUGCUGACUGAGGAAUGGGGAUUGUGUUGCCGUUUUAGAGGCACUGUGAUAGUGACGGUUGUUGUUGUAGUAGUUGUGUUUGGCGAUUUUUGAGAGUGGUCGGUCUACGCUCGU
rnacentral:ribozyme from 1 species